rnacentral:rRNA from 1 species
UACGUAGGUGGCAAGCGUUGUCCGGAUUUAUUGGGUUUAAAGGGUGCGUAGGCGGCCUUGUAAGUCAGUGGUGAAAUCCUCCAGCUUAACUGUAGGGGUGCCAAUGAUACUGCAGGGCUUGAGUACAGAUGAGGUAGGCGGAAUUGACGGUGUAGCGGUGAAAUGCAUAGAUAUCGUCAAGAACACCGAUAGCGAAGGCAGCUUACUGGGCUGUAACUGACGCUGAGGCACGAAAGUGUGGGGAUCAAACAGG